UCAAACAAGACCCAUGACCCUUGACACCAAAUUAUUAUACAUGAUUAAAAUGAUCUGAUCCACAAGCUCGUGCUAAAGGUGCUGGGAACAGAGCAGACAAAAUACAAUCUCUCUCCUUAUGGAACUUUACAGUCCAGUGAAGGAAGCAAGGAGGAUACCAAUGAAAAGGAGCUGGAGAUCAGAAAAGUUGGGGAAAUUUUUUACACAAUCUCUCUUAUGGAAAAAAGGAAUAUCUUUGGAA